ACAGAAGUAAAGCUGGAUACCCCACCCAAGCUAUUCCCAGGAUACACACUAUUUAAGCAGAUCAGCUAGCUGGAUCUACUCUGGUAUUUAACUUAUUCUUCCCUCUGAGUGUUUUUGACCCUUAAUUUAAUUUCUCCUAAGGUCAAUGCCCUGUGAUGCAAUUGUAUUUCUGAUUGUCAAUAUAGAUUAUUUUAUGCCCUGGAUUCAAGACAAAAGAGGCAACUCCUCAUAUGCUUGUACCAGGAUCUCCUUUGAACACAGUAUGUACAAAGUAUUUGCCUGAGGAUUGAGUAUAUUCUUUAGAGAUCUUCAGACAGUGAACAUUGUCAAGGCAGAUCAACGUAUGCACCUUGAACUAGAGUGGGACCACGUCCUUUCUUGUAAUGAUGAGUCUUGUUAUGUCACUGGUGAUGAGUUAUUUCACCAGAGACUGGCACAUAAGGAAUGGAUAAAAUAUGACUAUGACAGUGGAACAUUUUUGUCUUUGGUAAAAGCAAUGUCAUUAUGAAAGCAAUGGGCUAACCCGAAUUGAUAGGAGCCAGUGAAGCUAUAAAUCAGCCCUUAGACAAAAAGUUCAUCUUACAUAAAAGUA